CAUGUCUGUUUGGAGAUAUAAAUAGUCCGAUCUGCCCACUGAUAAUAUUAUUAAAGGGCCGCAGUAUCUUAACUGUGCAAAGGUAGCAUAAUCGUUAGUUCUUUAAUUGAGAUCUUGUAUGAAUGAUUAGACAAAAAAGCAACUGUCUUUGUAGUAGGAAUUGAAUUUAACCUUUAAGUGAAAAGGCUUAAAUAAUUUAAAGUGACGAUAAGACCCUGUGAAGCUUAAUGUUAAUAGGUGUUUAAAAUGAUAUCUAUAAUUAAAAUUUUAAUAGCUGAAACCAUUUUAUUGGGGUGAUAAAAGUAAAAUUUAUAGUAACUGCUUAGAUUUAAAUCAAAUAUAAGUGAAUAAAAUUUAAAUGAUCCAAUAUAAAGAGUAAAAGAUUAAGUUACUUCAGGGAUAACAGCGUUAUUCUUUUAGAGAGUUCAUAUCGAAAAAAGAGAUUGCGACCUCGAUGUUGAAUUAAAAUACCUAUAUAAUUGUAGUAGUUAUAGUAGGAGGUCUGUUCGACCUUUAAAUUUUUACGUGAUUUGAGUUCAGACCGGUUUAAGCCAGGUCGGUUUCUAUCUUUUAAUUAAAAUAAAUUACUUUA
rnacentral:rRNA from 1 species